rnacentral:rRNA from 1 species
GAUGAACGCUAGCUACAGGCCUAACACAUGCAAGUCGAGGGGAAACGACAUCGAAAGCUUGCUUUUGAUGGGCGUCGACCGGCGCACGGGUGAGUAACGCGUAUCCAACCUGCCCAUCACUUGGGGAUAACCUUGCGAAAGUAAGACUAAUACCCAAUGAUAUCUCUAGAAGACAUCUGAAAGAGAUUAAAGAUUUAUCGGUGAUGGAUGGGGAUGCGUCUGAUUAGCUUGUUGGCGGGGUAACGGCCCACCAAGGCAACGAUCAGUAGGGGUUCUGAGAGGAAGGUCCCCCACAUUGGAACUGAGACACGGUCCAAACUCCUACGGGAGGCAGCAGUGAGGAAUAUUGGCCAAUGGGCGAGAGCCUGAACCAGCCAAGUAGCGUGCAGGAAGACGGCCCUAUGGGUUGUAAACUGCUUUUAUAAGGGAAUAAAGUGAGAGUCGUGACUCUUUUUGUAUGUACCUUAUGAAUAAGGACCGGCUAAUUCCGUG